UUGCGCUAUUGGAUGAGCCUAAGUCGGAUUAUCUAUUUGGUGGGGUAAAGGCCUACCAAGGCGACAAUCCGUAUCUGGUCUGAGAGGAUGAUCACCCACAUCGGGACUGAGACACGGCCCGAACUCCUACGGGAGGCAGCAGUGGGGAAUAUUGGACAAUGGGGGCAACCCUGAUCCAGCCAUGCCGCGUGUGUGAAGAAGGCUUUCGGGUUGUAAAGCACUUUCAGUAGGGAGGAAAACCUUAUGGUUAAUACCCAUGAGGCUUGACGUUACCUACAGAAGAAACACCGGCUAACUCCGUGCCACCAGCCGCGGUAAUACGGAGGGUGCAAGCGUUAAUCGGAAUUACUGGGCGUAAAGCGCGCGUAUGUGGUUUGGUAAGCGAGAUGUGAAAGCCCCGGGCUUAACCUGGGAACGGCAUUUCGAACUGUCAGACUAGAGUGUGGUAGAGGGUAGUGGAAUUUCCUGUGUAGCGGUGAAAUGCGUAGAUAUAGGAAGGAACACCAGUGGCGAAGGCGGCUACCUGGACCAACACUGACACUGAGGUGCGAAAGCGUGGGGAGCAAACAGGAUUAGAUACCCUGGUAGUCCACGCCGUAAACGAUGUCAACUAGCCGUUGGGACUCUUGAAGUCUUAGUGAGCGCAGCUAACGCACUAAGUUGACCGCCUGGGGAGUACGGGCCGCAAAGGUUAAAAACUCAAAUGAAUUGACGGGGGCCCGCACAAGCGGUGGAGCAUGUGGUUUAAUUUCGACGCAACGCGAAGAAACCUUACCUGGCCUUGACAUCCAGAGAACUUUCCAGAGAUGGAUUGGUGCCUUCGGGAACUCUGAGACAGGUGCUGCAUGGCCGUCGUCAGCUCGUGUCGUGAGAUGUUGGGUUAAGUCCCGUAACGAGCGCAACCCCUAUCCCUGGUUGCUAGCAGGUAAUGCUGAGAACUCCAGGGAGACUGCCGGUGACAAACCGGAGGAAGGUGGGGAUGACGUCAGGUCAUCAUGGCCCUUACGGCCAGGGCUACACACGUGCUACAAUGGCGCGUACAGAGGGCUGCCAACUCGCGAGAGUGAGCCAAUCCCUUAAAACGCGUCGUAGUCCGGAUCGGAGUCUGCAACUCGACUCCGUGAAGUCGGAAUCGCUAGUAAUCGCGAAUCAGAAUGUCGCGGUGAAUACGUUCCCGGGCCUUGUACACAC
rnacentral:rRNA from 2 species